GACGAACGCUGGCGGCGUGCCUAAUACAUGCAAGUUGAGCGCUGAAGGUUGGUACUUGUAUCAACUGGAUGAGCAGCGAACGGGUGAGUAACGCGUGGGGAAUCUGCCUUUGAGCGGGGGACAACAUUUGGAAACGAAUGCUAAUACCGCAUAAAAACUUUAAACACAAGUUUUAAGUUUGAAAGAUGCAAUUGCAUCACUCAAAGAUGAUCCCUCGUUGUAUUAGCUAGUUGGUGAGGUAAAGGCUCACCAAGGCGAUGAUACAUAGCCGACCUGAGAGGGUGAUCGGCCACAUUGGGACUGAGACACGGCCCAAACUCCUACGAGAGGCAGCAGUAGGGAAUCUUCAGCAAUGGACGAAAGUCUGAACGAGAAACGCCGCGUGAGUGAAGAAGGUUUUCGGAUCGUAAAACUCUGUUGGUAGAGAAGAACGUUGGUGAGAGUGGAAAGCUCAUCAAGUGACGGUAACUACACAGAAAGGGACGGCUAACUACGUG
rnacentral:rRNA from 1 species